AUUGAACGCUGGCGGCAUGCCUUACACAUGCAAGUCGAACGGCAGCGAGAGAGAAGCUUGCUUCUCUUGUCGGCGAGUGGCGAACGGGUGAGUAAUACAUCGGAACGUACCCUGUAGUGGGGGAUAACUACUCGAAAGAGUAGCUAAUACCGCAUACAACCUGAGGGUAAAAGUGGGGGACCGCAAGGCCUCACGCUAUAGGAGCGGCCGAUGGAAGAUUAGCUAGUUGGUAGGGUAAAGGCCUACCAAGGCGACGAUCUUUAGCGGGUCUGAGAGGACGAUCCGCCACACUGGGACUGAGACACGGCCCAGACUCCUACGGGAGGCAGCAGUGGGGAAUUUUGGACAAUGGGCGAAAGCCUGAUCCAGCAAUGCCGCGUGAGUGAAGAAGGCCUUCGGGUUGUAAAGCUCUUUUGUUUGGGAAGAAAUCCUAACGGAUAAUACCUGUUGGGGAUGACGGUACCAAAAGAAUAAGCACCGGCUAACUACGUGCCAGCCGCCGCGGUAAGAC
rnacentral:rRNA from 1 species